AUUGAACGCUGGCGGCAGGCCUAACACAUGCAAGUCGAGCGAGUGGCGGACGGGUGAGUAAUGUCUGGGAAACUAGCUUAUGGAGGGGGAUAACUACGGGAAACGGUAGCUAAUACCGCAUACCAUCGGAUGAGCCCAGAUGGGAUUAGGUAGUUGGUGGGGUAAAGGCUCACCAAGUCGACGAUCCCUAGCUGGUCUUAGAGGAUGACCAGCCACACUGGUACUGAUACACGGCCCAGACUCCUACGGGAGGCAGCAGUGGGGAAUAUGGCGCAAGGGGGGCAACCCUGAAGCAGCCAUGCCGCGUGAAUGAAGAAGGCCUUCGGGUUGUACAGUACUUUCGGUAGCGAGGCGUUACCUACAGAAGAAGCACCGGCUAACUCCGUGCCAGCCGCCGCGGUAAUAC
rnacentral:rRNA from 1 species